rnacentral:rRNA from 1 species
UACAGAGGUGGCAAGCGUUGUUCGGAAUUACUGGGCGUAAAGGGCGAGUAGGUGGCCAUCUAAGUCAGACGUGAAAUCCCCCGGCUUAGCCUGGGAACUGCGUCUGAUACUGGACGGCUUGAGUAUGGGAGAGGAACGUAGAAUUCCAGGUGUAGCGGUGAAAUGCGUAGAUAUCUGGAGGAAUACCGGUGGCGAAGGCGGCGUUCUGGACCAUUACUGACACUGAAUCGCGAAAGCUAGGGGAGCAAACGGG